rnacentral:rRNA from 1 species
UACGUAGGCAGCGAGCGUUGUUCGGAAUUACUGGGCGUAAAGGGCGCGUAGGCGGUCUGCUAAGUUGGAUGUGAAAACUCUGGGCUUAACCCAGAGCCUGCAUUCAAAACUGACAGGCUAGAGUUCUGGAGGGGGAAGCGGAAUUCCUGGUGUAGCGGUGAAAUGCGUAGAUAUCAGGAGGAACACCGGUGGCGAAGGCGGCUUCCUGGACAGAAACUGACGCUGAGGCGCGAAAGCUAGGGGAGCAAACAGG